ACCACGAAAUUAAUCUUUCUACUGGUUUUUUUCUCACCAAAAUAAUAUUCUAAUAAUAUUCUAAUAAGAGCCCCCUAUUUCUAAUUUUGAGAGCGCCCUGGGCGCUUAUUAUGUCGAAUAUGGUGUACUAUUUAGGCCAGAAGAAUUUCUUGUUUUAUAAACAAGUCUACUCUAAUUGUUCAGAAAGUAAAGAAAUUUGCAAAAAUAGAAAUGCUGCACUACAAUAUGUUUUUUUAAAAAUAUGGUUUAGAAUAUUUCUUUAAGAAUUUAACAUCAAAUGAACCCUGAAAACAAUGUGUUUUUGAUUUGUGCAACCUCUUGGCCUGUUCAUAGAGAUGUUUGUAAAAGAAGAAAUUAAAUUAGUCUGGUCUUUUAAUAGGUUGAUGUGACCCCCGAACAUUGAAAGCCAAUGAUUUGCUUCUGUUAAAUAUGGAAACACUGACACCGUUGAUGAAGCGUGUACAUUAUCCAUAUUGGCAUUGAUUUCUCUACCACUUGAUAUCAAUUCUGUCUGAGGUUGUACAUGCAGACCUAGCCUGUUGUAUUAUGUCUGCAACUGCCAGUGCCUUGGUUUCCUGAGAGAGCCUUAACACUGUAGAUACUGUGACAAACCAUGUGAUAUUGCUGGAGAUGGAGGGGAGAAAACAAUACAUGCAAUGUCUUACACUCAACAUAUUUCAUUCACUUUCCAAUACUGAGGCAUCACGAGGGCUUGUGUUUCUGUCACUGUCUAUCACUGGAGGAAUAGUGGACUUUUAGGGGGACUUACACGGUUAGGUUUCAACUGGUUACACUAUUUUCAUGUUCUUUCUUUCAGAACUGGAGAUUAAGAAUGUAUGAUAUGCUCACUCACUCCAAUAAUUCUCGUUGCUGCAUAAUCUGUAGGGUGUGUGUCUGUUUCUCAUGUGUCCUGCACAGCACGUAGCAGUAGGAGGCUGUUGAUGCAUGUUAUGUGACAGGUGCCCUGUACAUGAGCUCCCUCUCGCCAUGUAUCCACAGCCUACAGUUUGUAUGUUAACAUACAGAAUAUUGUCCAUCAGCUGUUCUGAUGUGUAUGUAUGGAUAGGUUAACAUACAGAAUAUUGUCCAUCAGCUGUUCUGAUGAGUAUGUAUGGAUAGGUUAACAUACAGAAUAUUGUCCAUCAGCUGUUCUGAUGAGUAUGUAUGGAUAGGUUAACAUACAGAAUAUUGUCCAUCAGCUGUUCUGAUGAGUAUGUAUGGAUAGGUUAACAUACAGAAUAUUGUCCAUCAGCUGUUCUGAUGAGUAUGUAUGGAUAGGUUAACAUACAGAAUAUUGUCCAUCAGCUGUUCUGAUGUGUAUGUAUGGAUAGGUUAACAUACAGAAUAUUGUCCAUCAGCUGUUCUGAUGAGUAUGUAUGGAUAGGUUAACAUAAAGAAUAUUGUCCAUGAGUAAUUGAUGAGUAUGUAUGGAUAGGUUAACAUACAGAAUGUUGUCCAUCAGCUGUUCUGAUGAGUAUGUAUGGAUAGGUUAACAUACAGAAUAUUGUCCAUCAGCUGUUCUGAUGAGUAUGUAUGGAUAGGUUAACAUACAGAAUAUUGUCCAUCAGCUGUUCUGAUGAGUAUGUAUGGAUAGGUUAACAUACAGAAUAUUGUCCAUCAGCUGUUCUGAUGAGUAUGUAUGGAUAGGUUAACAUACAGAAUAUUGUCCAUCAGCUGUUGAUGAGUAUGUAUGGAUAGGUUAACAUACAGAAUAUUGUCCAUCAGCUGUUCUGAUGAGUAUGUAUGGAUAGGUUAACAUACAGAAUAUUGUCCAUAAACUGUUAGUUAUAAUAACGUCUGUUAGCUUAAACAGGCUUGCUCUCUCAUCACAUGGCUGUCACUUGUGCACUUUCUCUCAACAGAUCUCCUGUGUAUAUUUGUCUUAAUUCCAUAUGACGCCUUCCCUUUUCUUCUCAAUAUCUAUAACUAGUCUCAUUACACCUGUAUCUGUCCUACACUGUAUGGUCAGUGGGGCAGUACUAUUUUCCUUUGAACUAUUUCACUACUUUCAGUAUGAGGUCAUCACCUGUUGGUGCUGGUAACUAUGGUAACAUCUAGUCAGUUCCUUUUGAAUAUCUUCUCAAUGGAACACAAUUUGCUAAGCUUUACACAAAACUGGUUCAGAGAAAUCCAUCGUACAUAUCCCUCCCAAGUCGUCACUCUCGUUAUCAUGUCCAUCCUCUGUCAUCAGGGACACCACACGUGCCUUACCGCAAGGCAUCCCGCGACUCACAAUCAUAAUGUAUGCAGGAGUGGUUGAAUGUUGUGUCCUUGUGCCUGUACAUUGUGUUGGAGUGGUUCUAUGUUUCAUUGUGUCAGUGGCUGAAUGUUAUGACAGGUGCUUGCACGUUGUGUCAAGUGCUUGCACGUUGUGUCAAGUGGCUAAUUGGUGUGACAAAUGGUUUUACAUUGUGUCUGAGGUUGAAUGUUGUGUCAGAGUGGUUGAAUGGUGUGACAAAUGGUUUUACAUUGUGUCAGUGAGGUUGAAUGUUGGUUGAGUGGUUUAAUGGUGUGACAAAUUGUUUUACAUUGUGUCUGAGGUUGAACAUUGUGUCGAGUGGUUGAAUGUUGUGACAAAUGGUUUUACAUUGUGUCAGUGGUUGAAUGUUAUGACAGGUGCUUGCACGUUGUGUCAAGUGGCUAAUUGGUGUGACAAAUGGUUUUACAUUGUGUCAGUGAGGUUGAAUGUUGUGUCGAGUGGUUGAAUGUUGUGACAAAUGGUUUUACAUUGUGUCAGUGAGGUUGAAUGUUGGUCGAGUGGUUUAAUGGUGUGACAAAUGGUUUUACAUUGUGUCAGUGAGGUUGAAUGUUGUGUCGAGUGGUUGUAAGUUGUGUUAAAGUGCUUGUACAUUGUGUCGGGGUGGUUGAACCUUGCGCCCGAGUGGUUGAACUUUCACUCAGAGUGAUUGUGUGUUGUGACAGGUGCUUGCACAUUCUGUCGGACUUCUUCACUUUGUUUACAUGUUGUGUUGGAGCAAAAUGUGCCAGCUGCUUGACCAAGCAAGCAUCUUUCCUGAUAUUUGUGUUCACAGCUGCAGUUGUCUGACUGGGGUUGUGUGGUGUGACUGAUACGACAAAAAAGCUGCACUGAGUCAGAUUGUCCGACCCCUGACGGAAGUGUUAGAUACCAUCGUCAUAAAGGAGACCUAUAAAGUUUCAUUCCAUCUUGUUGAUGGCAUGAUGUCAUGACGUCAUGUUAAUGUGAUGUCAUGAUGUCAAUGUUGAUGUGGUGUCAUGUUGAUAUGAUUUCAUGACUUCUUAUGCAAUCUCAACAUGAAAUAUUCUAAUCAUUGUGGGUCUUGUGGGUCCUUGUUCAGCCUUUUCUAUCUCAUCCCAUGGACACCCUUUACUCUCCUACACGUCAGUUAUAUUCUAGGUUAGGAUGGUCCUGUUUAUACAAAUGUGAACCAUUAUUCAUUUAGGUUCUGGGUGAUAUGCCAUAAUGAGAACUAUCUGGAGGAAGUUUGCCUGAGAUCUGACCACCUACACAGAUGUUGAGUCCAACCAUGGAUCUCGUUCUUGCAUAUUCUGUAUUGCAAACUGUAUAUGCAGUGUAACAAAAACUUAUGAAACAGUGAUGCUGGUUUGUGCCAAAAAACGGAUUAGGAUUGCCAAGUCACAACAUCAGACAUGUACUUAAGAAUGAACUUAAUAACCAGAGACAUUAUCGACUUCAAACUGGUACAAGAACGUCACAUGACAUUAUACAAUUAACAAAUAUAUUUGACCUUGACCUUCCUUGUCUUUCAUCAGAUAAAGAUUAAUUUUAAUAACAAGACUAUAUUAUGUGUAAGCAUCACAUGUUUAUGUAAUAUAUCAUCUUGCUACAACUGGAACAGCAUUCUUUGACCAGGCUGUGUUAUAUAUGUGACCUUGACCUUGACCUUCCUGGUCUAUUGGGAAGGUAAAUAAGAAAACUCUGUUUAAAAAGCUCUGCAAUUGUUAUAACAUUUUUACCAGCAUUCUUUGACCAGACUGUGUGAUAUUGUUAGGUAUCAAACAAUAUAUCAGGUUGUGAAAAAUCUACUUAUUUGCUGUAUGAUUUAGGACGGGAUGCACUGAGGUUCACAACAAUAGAUAUAUAGUUAAGGAACUUUAAUGAAAAUGUUCAAAGGACUGACAAUUAGCAAUAUGUCUUUCAGGAAUCUUACAAUGCCAUUAAGAAGAGAGUAAUGGCUAAAGCUGUUGUUUCAUGCUUCAUGAAUUUCCGAAUAAUUCUCGAUGAACAUACAUGUAUUUGCCAUGUCCUUUAAGUGAAUUAAAAUUCAUUUUCUGAUUGAUCUAAUGUUUGAGGUUAGGUUGAAUCAUUCGUUUCUAUGGCAACACAGCCCUAGUAUAUAGUAGUGUCCUUAUUGCAUAUUUAACACGGUUGCAAUACAAUCAACUGUGUGUUACACCUCGAUCCCCACUGUUAACUGGAUUCACGGUUUCCCAUUGGCAAAACUCAAUUGUUAUGUGCAUAAUUGUUAACCUAUUUCAUCCUUUGAAAUAUUUCUGUAGAUAGUGACCACAUGUGAUGUAUCUGUUUCAUGUUUAUCUCCUUCCUACCUACAAUUACAGGUGACAAUAUUUGUUUUCCCGUUUCUUCAAUCAUUAAAAUCAGAUAUUUUACUCCAAUUCGAUACCACUCCAUCCGAGUAAAAUGUUUGAUUUUAAUAACAUUACUCAUUUCUUUGGACCAGUGAUGUACAUUCAGUCAUUAUUUAUGAUAUCUGGCUGCAAAAUUGGCUUUCAGGCAGCACCAUUUUAAAGCAAAAAUUCAAUGCUGCCAUGGGAAGAUAUACGACCGACUGUUAUUUGUCUGUGGUUUUAGUAAUAUGGUGUUGCCUGAAAAACAUUAUUCCUAGCCUAUUCCUUGUUGCCUUUGUUUUUUGCUUGUAUAUAUAUCUCACAAGUGAAUGAGCAAGUUAGGGAAUAUUGCUCCUGGCUGCUACAGCAAGUGGCUAGCUAUUUGCACCCUAUAUUUCAAUCUCGGCAAGAGUGAUCGACAUCACAUCCCUGUUAUGGGCUAAUGUAUGUUGCUAGCUCAAUCAGAUUUGAAUCAAAGUAGGAUGCCAAUUUGACACAUAUAUAGUGGGGCGUCUCAUCAUAUGCCCAGUUCAUUUACGACUAAGUCAAAUUUGCUGCUACAUGCAUGGCCUCAUCCCAGAUGCUCAGAAAUGAGUUCGUUUUCAAUUGAUCUGGGUACUGGGUUUGUCUAAUGCUCUUUUCAAGAUGUCCGUCACUUGACAAGAAAUGUUUCUUUGUAAUGUCAAGUUUCUGAUAGAUAUUAUCUCUCUCGUUUACCGUUAAGCAUUUACUCAAGCAUGGCCACGAUUGCUGUCAUACUCAAGUCUGGCUUUCUGUACAUUUCACAAAUAUGCACAAUUCAGUAUUCUCUUCCCAAUGUUGACAUUGUUCUCGUUUUAGUCUGAUGUUGUCUUCCACAAUUUAACGAUAUGAACAAUCAUUGUAAGAGGUAUUUUGUUAAAUAAAUUAUUUUGCACACAGUAUCAGUAAUACAAGAUCUUUCUUGAGCUAGCUUGGUGCCCAUGCGGUUCCGAUUAGUGAAGUGUUAUUAUCAUGUUGUUGAAAUCAUUAUGAGUGUGUCGACAGUGUCGUUAAUGUUGCAUUGUACAAAUGUACAUAUAUAUAUUAAAAUAUUGUUGUCUAGCAUACUUGAAAAUGUCACAAAAUCAGCUCACUUAAUUGUUGAGGAAUGAAAAAUACCAUUGUAGAAUGAUUUUUGGAAUAAAACAUUUAAAAAUUCAGAA